rnacentral:misc_RNA from 1 species
CUGGAGAGUUUGAGAACUCCCGAACCCUGUGUGAACGUACCUGACAGUUUGCUUCGGCAGGCGGUCCCCGGGGGGACCUCCAGCCCGCCUCCGGGCGGGUGCCUGCCGCGAGGCUAGCGCCUAAACUCUGCCGUAACCGGUCGUCUGAGACGAGAGAGCCCGCCGAGAGGCGGCGCCAAAUCUAGUUA